rnacentral:rRNA from 1 species
UACAGAGACUGCAAGCGUUAUUCGGAUUCACUGGGCGUAAAGGGUGCGCAGGCGGCCAAGUGUGUUAGGCGUGAAAGCCCGGGGCUUAACCCCGGAAUUGCACCUAAAACUACAUGGCUAGAGCAUUGGAGAGGGUAGCGGAAUUCACGGUGUAGCAGUGAAAUGCGUAGAUAUCGUGAGGAACACCAGUGGCGAAGGCGACUACCUGGCCUGUUCUUGACGCUGAGGCGCGAAAGCUAGGGGAGCAAACAGG